rnacentral:lncRNA from 1 species
AAUAUGAGAAAUUAAUGCUUCCUUCAAAUUUACAAAUGACAAAUAAAAAAGAACAAAUUUCACUCUCUAAAAACACAAAUAAACAACGGAGGGAGUAUCACAUAACUGUUGCCUCUCUAGCCGAUGGGAGAUUCAGAAGUUGGCUCCUGUUUGUAGAGAUAGCUUACACCCCCCUUGGGGUGUAACACUUGGCAAAUAGCACUUUGCUCCGGACCGCUCAACAACCUGCUCACAUACCAUUUGUAACAACCCAACAAGAAAGAGAGGUCAAAAGGUUGAUAUAUCUUGUCACCAAUAAAAAAACAGAGGAGUUCAAACUAAACAAUAAUAAUAAUAAUGCUAAAAUGCAGCCUCCCUGAUUGACAGAUCCUGGUAGCUAGCUUUACAUUGUUUGGCGACAUGCAUGCAUUCUAUGUUCUUGAUAACCUCCUACCUGUAAUCAUUAGGACUAUACAUGUUUUACCGAUUGCAUACGCACCCAGGAACAAGAACAAGCUAAACACAGAGUACCAGUGGCUCUAGCAAUACAACAGAGAAGCCAUUUUUGGUCACAAUUACAGAUUUGCUCAUGUACUCAAAGUUGAGGGGAAUGAAGCCUGGUCCGAAAUCAUUCAUGAUACCCAAGUCUAAUGAAAGAUCUCGAACCAAACGACAUUCCCCACAACCAUUCAUGAGAGAGAGAGAGAGAGAGGCUUUGAAUCCAUAUAUGACCAUUCAUUAUAUUUCAUGCGCUAUUCAUUAUAUAUAUAGGUAAGGAUGGAUGAAAAGAGAUUCUUUCUUUGGGUCACAUGACACGGAGUCCACUUUAUACACCACCCUAAACAUGCUUUUCACAUAUAGGAAUGUCAAUUACUGAAAGAAAGAAAAGUGUUUAUAAUACAUACAUAUAUAUAUAUACACACACACACACACACAAUUUUUUUUGGAAAAAAGAUAAUAAACCCUUUUCUCAUUCAUGACAUAAUGUAUUGGUUCUCUUACAGUACUCAGUAUUGAUACUCAUUUUGUUCUAGUUUGGUCAACUAAAAUUAAGCUCUCUAAGAUAAAGGAAACUUCAGAAUUCUAAAGCGUAAAAUUUGGGAUGCUAUUAGGGUUUCUAGUCCUUUUACUCUCAAAAAAAUCACACAAGCUGUAUUUAUUUUCCUUAUUUUAACUUUGAUUCUAAGUCCUAUAUAUUUUGAGGAUCUGACUUGUAUUUGUUUACAAGGACGUUGAUGUUGUGUUAUUGUUCUCAAGUAAAGGAUAUGUCUUUUGCUUCCCACUAGAGUAAAGGGAAGGUGGGAACCUUAUUCAGCUAGUAUUAUGCCAAGCUUGAGUGUCAAGCUAAUAACAAAUUAAUGACCUGAAAAUUAAGCUUUUUUAAGACCAACAAAUAUAAAGUUAAAUGGGAGCUGAAUACGAGAAGAAAUUCAAGUCCCUCAGUUAAUUUUUUUAAUCACUUUGUUUUGGUGUUGAAUGGUAUUUUCUUUUAAUUCCAGACCACCUCUACAUUUGAUAAUUAAGUAAGCUAAAUCAUCAUUCUCCCAUAAUGUGAAUUCAACCUUUAAAACUAUGAAAGUUGCAGCAUUUUCUAAAGCAGCACAAGAUUAGGUCAGCUAUAAAUUCAACAACAGCAGUUUUAUUGCAAACAAUUUAUUCACAUUCUUCUAAACCUAAUGGCAUGCACCAGAAUCAAGGAUCUAUAAUGACGAACAUAAAAUAUAAAAAAAGAAUCCAGUACCAUGUCACAUACUCCUAAUUAAGUUACCAAAAUAUUUAAGGUAUAUAGGGAUCUACAUGUUUCCUGAAUCAUAUUUCGGCUAGUUGUGAGACAUGUUGGCAACUUUCCCCGGUUUUGAUCUUCAUAAGGCUUAGUCCUUAAUUUUGACACCUCUACAGUAUCCAUCUUCUAGAUCACACAAACAUCACAAAAGUAAUAAAAACAACCUAGGCACUAGAGAGAUUCUACAGACAAUAGUGUAAAAAAUGCUUAUUGCAGUGUGGUGAAGCAACUUGCUAUUUUUUCCAACUUUUUUAUAGAGACAAGAAUAUAUAUAUAUAUAUAUAUAUAUAUAUAUAUAUAUGUAUGUAUGUAUGUAUGGUAUAGUAUAAUACUGAUAGGAGACCCCACAGUAAGAGAAUCAUUGUUGUUGUUACCAAUUAGACACAAGUUGGUUCUUACCAAAGUAAAAGUUGAAUAAAUAAGAGAGACACAUAAAUCCAGAGACAAACCAGUUGAUACUCUAAUUAUGACCCAAUAGUAUAAAAAUAGCUCAUAUCUAUCCCUAAAAUUCAUUGAAAUUUCAUAUUUUUCAAUUGCCUUCCCCCUGUAUCCUAAGCCAACCAAGGUCAGUCUUUUCCUUCAGUUCUUGAAGCUUCAUAAUAGUCAAGAAAUCAAAAGUGCUAAAACCAAAAUAAUAAAUAAUCCCUUUUCUUUAUAUUUCAUUCUAAUUAACUGACCAAAGAAAGAGGAAGAACUAUCAUACUCAAAGCCAGCUAUAAAAAGGUACAUUCAAUUAUUGGACUUCAUGAAGACAAGAAAGUUCAGAGAGCAGAUAGGAGUCCUAUGGUACAGCCUACAAAAUGCAAGGAGAAGUCCAGACUUAAUGAGCCCCCAUUGAUUAUUACUCCCUCCGUUCCUUAAUAUAAGUCGUUUUAGAGAAAUAUUUUUGUUCCUUAAUAUAAGUCGUUUUAGAAUUUCAAGUAAGCAUUAAUUGCUUAGUUUCCAAUAUUACCCCAAGUAUUAAAUGUAAUUUUGGUUCUUUCACUAUUUUCAGUCCAAUAAAUAACAAUCUCUUCUUCCAAUACAAGGGCAAAAUAGACAAUUGAUAUUAUAGUUAAUGCUAUACAAUCAUUUUCUUAAUACUUGUGCACAACUCUAAAACGACCUAUAUUAAGGAACGGAGGGAGUACCUUUUAGUGUCCCCCACAUUUUUUGGAAUUGUAACCAGAAUUAAAGUUUUAGUGAUCUUACUUUUAGAAACUCAUAAAUCUAACACCAAUCAAUUAAAGCAGAAAAGCAUAUGGUAUCACAGUCUACAUUAAUUUAAAGAUUUUUGACAUAAAAAGUCUAUAAAAGUCAAGAUGCCUUUUCAAAAUAGUAGGAGUAUUAUUCUGCUUCCACAUUUCAAGCAUGGACUACUAAAAAAGCACAUUCCUACCUAAUGGACCGUGCAUAAUUGCAUAUUAUAGAAAAAUGUUUGCACCUACGAAUUAUUACCUCUUAUUAUCAAAUCAUUAAAUGAUGAGGAAAUUCAAAAUUAGCUUAAGUUAUGUUCGACAACUCAAUUUCAAGCCUUGAUAUAAAUUAGAAUUGUCCACUAAAUUUUAACCAAGUCUCAAUUUAUUUUUAAGAAUUACAAAUUACCCUUCCUUACAAAUUCCAAAAUGUGAAACUAAGUUGUCAAACAUGGGAUACAUAGCAUUAAGCGAAAUCACCCACACCACUACACCAGUGGCCGGGAACCUCUGUGCUGAUCACUAUAUCUUCAGAACUUAUAAGCUAAGCAUCAUUUCUCAGGAUAACUGACCCUCUAUUUUUUAUUUUAUUUUAUAUAAGAAACUGACCCUCACAAAGCAGUUCCAUGAAAUGAAGCUUGUUAUUAUCUUUGUUAAAUUUAAAAAGCUCAGGAUUUAAGUGUCGGACAAAUAUUAAAAAGAAAAAUACUAGAGGGUCGAUGUUCCCUACCAGUAUAAGAGAUGAGUAGUACAAACCAUGACUUUUUCUCCAGUAGCUGCCACCCACAUAAAAAAUAAAUAAAAAUCAAUCAAUCAUCGAAAUGAGAAACAAAGGGAAGUGAGAAAUACCUUUAUAUGCUGCAGAUGCAGUAGUAGCUUUAAUCUCAUAGAUUAACUUCCCAUAUAUACUUGACUAAAAUCUAAUAGAUCAAAUUAUGUGUUCUAAGGAUAUUGUUACGUCUAACAUACAGUAUUUCACAAUGAAUAUUGUGUAUAUACAGAUAAUUAAGAGAGAGGAAUCAGAAUGUUGCCAAGCUCUUCAAAUUUAAAUACUGAAGAAAUAAGACUUCAAACCUUUUUUAUGUGCUUUUAAAUUGUGCCCUGCACCUUGAGAUUCAACCUGAGUUAGCAUCGAAAACCUUUGCAUAUAUCAUAUUUCUGCACAAUUUUUUAAAUUACCACUGUAAAUAAAUAUAACUCUCUAAGCUCAUACAAGUUGGAAGCUAGCUGCUUUUAAACCCCAAUUUCUUGAACUUCUUGGGAUCUCUGUUAGGGCCUAUAGGGGAAACCUGUUUGCACC